UGUGAACCAAACUACCAAAGAAUCCUAAUUUGCACUAGGAUGCCAAAAACUGACGAGACACCAAUUGAUUCGUGUUGCACCGAGGAAGAAGUUGUGCACACGUUUAAAUCCUACUAACACAAGAAACAAGAAGGUGUUAGAUAACGUAAAGGAAGAAUAAAGGUAAAAAAAUGAAAACCUACAGCUAAGAAUCAAUAAAAAUUGCUGAAAACAGAAAACCCGAAAAACUGCG
rnacentral:lncRNA from 1 species